rnacentral:rRNA from 1 species
AGACCUACGGGAGGCUGCAGUAAGGAAUAUUGGUCAAUGGGCGGAAGCCUGAACCAGCCAUGCCGCGUGCAGGAUGACUGCCCUAUGGGUUGUAAACUGCUUUUGUCCAGGAAUAAACCUAAAUACGUGUAUUUAGCUGAAUGUACUGGAAGAAUAAGGAUCGGCUAACUCCGUGCCAGCAGCCGCGGUAAUACGGAGGAUCCGAGCGUUAUCCGGAUUUAUUGGGUUUAAAGGGUGCGUAGGCGGCCUAUUAAGUCAGGGGUGAAAUACGGUGGCUCAACCAUCGCAGUGCCUUUGAUACUGAUGGGCUUGAAUCCAUUUGAAGUGGGCGGAAUAAGACAAGUAGCGGUGAAAUGCAUAGAUAUGUCUUAGAACUCCGAUUGCGAAGGCAGCUCACUAAGCUGGUAUUGACGCUGAUGCACGAAAGCGUGGGGAUCGAACAGGAUUAGAUACCCCAGUAGUCAG